UGGAAGAAGAUGCAGGCGGUGGGAGUGAGGGUUAUAAUCAAAGUAAAUGGAACUUAGUAGAAAAUCGGAAAAGGAAAAAGAGUGUAAGCCAAAUAUCGGGUACGGAUAGUGAGAGAGAAAACCAUCUGACUAGAAGGAGGAAAGAAGAUUAUAAGUUGGUGGCGGUAAAUGCACCUUGUAGCUGGUUUGCCAACCGCCAUAAAACUUUGAAAGAAGAAGAAGAAGAGACGAUCGGGAGCGCGAGUAAAGCUGAGUGAAAGACGCAAUAAACUGUUGUCUAGUGAUUUAUUUUCUUUUAUGUGAACAUCAGUUGACAAGUGUCGAGGUGAGCUGAUGAGAAGCUGUACUGAGCUUGUGCUGUCACGAGUUACAAGCGUGAUCGCAGCUGAACUACGUGGCUGUGUGAUACGAAGAGUGACAUUGCUCGUCUGGCUGACAGCUGUGUGACCCGACCCGAGUGUUUGUCUCCGAUUUAAGGGAGCUGAGGUACUGUGAGUUUUCUUCAUUUUUGUUUCACCACAGUUGACAUCUGGAAGAAAAACAGGGACAACAUUUUUUUUUGUUGCUGUUGUUGAUGUAGAAUAAAGCCGAUUCAGAACGAGUGUUUUUUUUUUUUGCUACUGUUGUUUCGAGAAAAAUCCUCGUUGACACAUUAGCGCCGCUCUGUGAACGCAAGCGGCAUUACAGACUCUUUGAAAUUCUUUUGGAUUUCAUUUUCCCUCCCUAUUUUGAGUAUAUAGCCUCUUCCCUGAGAAUUUGUUUUUCAUCUUUCUAUAUUUUCUCUAUAAUACAUUUUUGGAUGCUUUGCAGUAUUUUUGUUUAACAACUUUGUAAUUCAACUUUGUUUAACACUUGCAUGGACUUGUGUACGGACAAUUUAGUUUGCACAAGUGAGUGAAACCGCAUUUCGGGGUUUUUUUCCCCAGAGACUGUCUCUUCUACCAGGAACAUUCAUGGAAAAUAAUAUUUUUUUUCUUUAAUUGCUACAACAUAAAUUUCCUCAAAACGAUCUUUCCUUCGCACUGUACAAAAUACAUUGAUCUCUAUGCGCAGGCUGCUAAGAAGGGACCAUCUGCAAAGUGCAAACCCGAAAGAAAGCUCGUUUUGAGGCGAUUAAAAUAUUAAAACAAUGUUAUUUGUGUAGUAACAAUAUUCAGCUCACGAGAUAUUGAACGCGGAACUCCGCAAAUAUGCGAAGCGAAUAUAAAAAGCAACUUUACCCAAGUUGCAGACUUGAUCAUGUAGGACCUUCAGGACCACAUAGCCUACAUGGACAGCACCAUGAACAUAGUCAAGUUUUGAAAAAAAACCCAACCAGGGUAAAAAUAGUUUCAGGUUUGAUAUUUGCUGCGUAUUCACCUAGACUGCUUUAGUGUACUUUUGUGUAGGCUAUUGUACAUACAGUACGCAAAAAUGUUUUAUGUAAAAGUUACAGUAAUUCACCAAAGGGAUUUUUUCAUGUUCCAAAGGUUGUAGUAUGUUCCUACUGACCAGACUGACUUACUACAGGUGGAAUUUUGACAGUACCUCCCUUACUGUACGUUCAGUAUACAAAUAUUAAUAAAAAAAAAUUACAGUAAUUCCCCUAAAGUGUUUUUUCCUGUUCCAAAGGCUGUAGUGCUUUCCUAUUGACCAUACUGAUUUAUGUAACCCUGGUGAUUUUCCCCUAAAAGUUAAGCUGGAGUAUUUAAGACCCUUUCAAAUAAUGUUUCUUGGGUACUAAGUUUAUAUUUCUUUACGAUGUGUAAAUGGGAUCUGCGCCUUUAAGAGCAUCGUUCUGUGGUAGAGUUUGGUUGUAAUGUACAUGUGCAAAACGUGGGUUUUACAAACAAGUUAGGGUUUGUCCUUUAUUCAUUGGAGCAUAAGUUAUUAAGCCCGCCUGAUACCUGCGUAAUGUAUGUAUGAUUGGGUCUUGGAAGUUGGGAAGGGAAAAAAAGAGAGGAGAAAGGGGAGAGGAUGGAUGGAUGAAGGUGUGUGUUGAAACGCGCCGUGCUGAAUGUGUGAGAGAAUAGUGAUUAAUCCGACCAGGAUUGGUUGAUUUAUUUCUGAUUAUUAUAUUCAGCAGAGAUUUUAACCAAGGGUUCGCUGGCUGUAAGUUAUCUUUUAGUUUGUAUACACUUGUGUGAGUUCCAUACGAGUUAGUGCUAGCUACAAACGAAGUAGUAACUUGAGUAUCUAAAUAAUAAAGCAGACUUUAUCAACGUGAAUAACGGUGAUAAGGAGGAGCUGCACGACUGCACAUCCAGGUAGCGCCCUGAAUCGCCGAGGGGUUCAGGGUUCCCCUGGCAACGAGGGAUCGUAAAGAGUCCAGGACGCGCAUAUCAGGGACGAAGUGAGUGAUCGGAGUUUCCUAACACGGGAGGACUCAUUACUUACGGAUUGAAGGUAUCCCAUUUAAUGUUUAUUUGGCUCUUCGGAGUGAAGCGGCCAAUUAUCUCUUUAUUUUGUGGCCACAACGCACGCGAGCAACGAUACAGGCCUGCAACGAGGGGUGCAUUCCAGUGUGUGCCCUUGGGUUGUGUUCACAUGCAAGGGGCCUUUUGAUGAUAAUUGUCUUGGGAUUCAGAGAGCGUGAGAGAGACUCUGUACUCAUGUAUUGCAUAUAUAUUAUAUAUAUAUUGUAAGUAAAUCAAAACCAAAUAAUUUACAAGCUUUUAACUUCAUGAGGUGCAAUGGCAAGGUAUCAUAACACCGGAGAUGUCCUUGGUGAAUCUGCCUCUGGCUGGACAUUCCUUUACAGUCCUUUUUAAAGUCCAUCAACUUUUUGACAUGUUCAGAAAUCCCCUCCUGGAAACUCCCUCUGCAUACAUUCAGUCUUUUACAGCCAAUUGGUCAAACAUAAAACCUUGAACUGUCAUUAUUUCUGGAAGACCCCUUAGGACUUUUGCAUAUAAAACUCUUUGUCUCGUUUUCCUCUUUUUCUGGACCUUUCCAUCAUCGCUGUAUCUUCUGUAUCUCGUCCGCAACACAUAGACGGUAAUGAUGGCAUUUUUCUCCUUUCUUUUGCAAAGCUCUUUCUAAUACAUUUUCAAUUCCUUUCUACUCUGCCACCAUCAUCUGCUUAAUAAAUGCUUACAACAUUCAGUGUAGUAUGUUUUUCUUUAUAAACCAUUUUCAUAAUAAAAAUCUUUAUAAAACAAGUUGAGGUGUUUUUCUUAAUAAACUUUUUUCUCAAUAUAUGGUUAUAAUGAUUAUUAAUACAAGUGUUUUACAGUAAACACAUUCUUAAAUUGUUUAACAACUACUUAUGGUACCUUUCAUUAUAAAACCACUUUUUAUUAGUUACAAUUGUGGUUUACUAUGACCCAUAAAUACUUCAUAUACCAAAAGCCAUGAUUAGAAUACAAUAAUUGCAUAUUUCACAACAAUAUCCACAUAUCUGCAUCUGUAUAUCUGUCUUAGUUGACUUGUAUAAGUUUGAGGGUCAAUUUAUACAUAAUUUCACCUUAUUUUCAUUAAGUGAACAUCUCAUGUGUAUUUCUUUAGGGAGUGGAGUAAAGGGGCAUAUUAUCUUUCCUGCUUUCCUGGAGUGAAAUGUUUUAUCAGCCUGUUAAGGUGGACUGCUCUUCUGAUAAUUAGCUCAGGCCUUCUUCAGCCUCGAAGAGAACUGUUGUUUGUCAGUGUUCUGUGUGUGUGCGUUUGAUAUUCUUUGCAGGUUCUGAACUUUGUGAUAUAGCCUAAAACAUUCUCGGACCCUGGAAGAAGGUCACCACGGACUUAAAUCUCGGAAAUGGACGACAAAUAUUCUGAUUAACGGCGAUAUACCCACUUAUCUAUCAAAAACGUAUUAUUGUUUAGACUUUAUGUUGUCUCAGCCAAUCAGAAGUAAACGAUUAUGUAAUGCAUGUCCUUGGAAAAGGUAUAAUUGUGUGAGAUUUGUUUGUAAGGUAGAGUUGGCUUGCGACCUCCUCGUGACUUUGACGCUGGCUUUACCAAUUUAACUGCAAGCUAUUCUUCAGUAAAAUUGUACUUAUUUGAUUGAAUUUCACGACUCCUGGUCUUCUUUCAUCAUAUUAUCUGGUCCUGGGUCUUACAACUGUACCCCCCCAAA